rnacentral:rRNA from 1 species
AACGAACGCUGGCGGCAUGCCUAACACAUGCAAGUCGAACGAUCCCUUCGGAGAUGGUUGCGCACGGGUGCGUAACGCGUGGGAACCUGCCCUUAGGUUCGGAAUAACACAGAGAAAUUUGAGCUAAUACCGGAUAAUGUCUUCGGACCAAAGAUUUAUCGUCUUUGUUUGGGCCGGCGUUGUAUUAGCUAGUUGGGGGGGUAAAGGCCUACCAAGGCGACGAUACAUAGCUGGUCUGAGAGGAUCAUCGGCCACACUGGGACUGAGACACGGUGCAGACUCCUACGGGAGGCAGCAGUGGGGAAUACUGGACUAUGGGCGGAAGCAUGAUCCAGCACUGCCGCGUGAGUGAUGAAGGCCUUAGGGUUGUAAAGCUCUUUAACCCGGGAUGAUAAUGACAGUACCGAGAGAAUAAGCCCCGGCUAACUCCGUG